CCGAGGUCCAGACAUUGUUGUAUGCUCAGACGACAACGUUCAAGAACUCCGGCAGCUUGCUACAAUGUGGAAGCAAACAGAACACCUCUGAUAGUGACAGCAUCCGCCAAUGACUCGAGUCGACAGUUUUAACAGCGUUUGCCAAGCCCUGAUAUUCGCUUCUCGAUUGCAGUUGCGCUUAUCAAAUGCAUUAUGACCAUUGAAUUAUCAUUCACUCCACCUCGAGCGGCUGACGCCGGCGGACAACAGGAGAUCGAUCGAAGGAACGGACUUCUUUAGAUGUUUCAGGCGCACGUGCCGUCGAUGCGGGUUAAUAGCGUGGACAGUUUCAUCAUAACCUAAUGAGUAAAAAUGAUCUCCGGGGUAACCGUGAUAGUACAGGUGCCGCUGCCCCAGUGGCCAAUCAUCGCCAGCCAUGUCGGAUUCGACUGCGCGUCGCGAUAUCAGCAGUCGUAUGGAUGGAAGUGACGGCGGUACGCAUGGAAAGCCAGCAUUAGCAUCAGCUUAUAUG